UGUGUACUACCUCCGUUCCAAAAUACUUGACUUCCAUUUGUCCAAAAAUGGAUGUACCUAUAUACUAAAACAUGUCUAGAUACAUAUAUAUUUUGACAAAUAGAAGGCAUGUAUUGUGCAACGGAGGGAGUAGAAU
rnacentral:pre_miRNA from 1 species